GUAGGGAAUAUUGCACAAUGGAGGAAACUCUGAUGCAGCGACGCCGCGUGAGUGAUGAAGGACUUCGGUUCGUAAAGCUCUGUCGUACGGGAAUAAGAAAGUGAAUGUACCGUGCAAGAAAGGAUCGGCUAACUUCGUGCCAGCAGCCGCGGUAAGACGAGGGAUCCUAGCGUUGUUCGGAAUCAUUGGGCGUAAAGCGGGUGCAGGUGGCUUUGUAAGUCGGGUGUGAAAUCCCGGGGCUCAACCCCGGAAGUGCAUUCGAUACUGCAAAGCUUGAGUGCUGGAGAGGCUAUUAGAAUACAUGGUGUAGUGGUGAAAUACGUAGAUAUCAUGUGGAAUACCGGAGGCGAAGGCGGAUAGCUGGCCAGACACUGACACUCAUACCCGAAAGCGUGGGGAUCAAACAGGAUUAGAAACCCGAGUAGUCC
rnacentral:rRNA from 1 species